CCUACGGGGGGCAGCAGUGAGGAAUAUUGGUCAAUGGACGAGAGUCUGAACCAGCCAAGUAGCGUGAAGGAUGACUGCCCUAUGGGUUGUAAACUUCUUUUAUAUGGGAAUAAAAUGUUCCACGUGUGGGAUUUUGUAUGUACCAUAUGAAUAAGGAUCGGCUAACUCCGUGCCAGCAGCCGCGGUAAUACGGAGGAUCCGAGCGUUAUCCGGAUUUAUUGGGUUUAAAGGGAGCGUAGGUGGAUUGUUAAGUCAGUUGUGAAAGUUUGGGGCUCAACCGUAAAAUUGCAGUUGAAACUGGCAGUCUUGAGUACAGUAGAGGUGGGCGGAAUUCGUGGUGUAGCGGUGAAAUGCUUAGAUAUCGCGAAGAACUCCGAUUGCGAAGGCAGUUCACUGGACUGCAACUGACACUGAGGCGCGAAAGUGUGGGUAUCAAACAGGAUUAGAUACCCGGGUAGUC
rnacentral:rRNA from 1 species